UACGAAGGGGGCUAGCGUUGCUCGGAAUCACUGGGCGUAAAGCGCACGUAGGCGGCUUUCUAAGUCAGGGGUGAAAUCCUGGAGCUCAACUCCAGAACUGCCUUUGAUACUGGAAAGCUUGAGUUCGGGAGAGGUGAGUGGAACUUCGAGUGUAGAGGUGAAAUUCGUAGAUAUUCGCAAGAACACCAGUGGCGAAGGCGGCUCACUGGCCCGAUACUGACGCUGAGGCACGAAAGCGUGGGGAGCAAACAGG
rnacentral:rRNA from 1 species